UGGGGAAUUUUGGACAAUGGGGGAAACCCUGAUCCAGCCAUCCCGCGUGUGCGAUGAAGGCCUUUGGGUUGUAAAGCACUUUUGGCAGGAAAGAAACGUCAUGGGUUAAUACCCCGUGAAACUGACGGUACCUGCAGAAUAAGCACCGGCUAACUACGUGCCAGCAGCCGCGGUAAUACGUAGGGUGCAAGCGUUAAUCGGAAUUACUGGGCGUAAAGCGUGCGCAGGCGGUUCGGAAAGAAAGAUGUGAAAUCCCAGAGCUCAACUUUGGAACUGCAUUUUUAACUACCGGGCUAGAGUGUGUCAGAGGGAGGUGGAAUUCCGCGUGUAGCAGUGAAAUGCGUAGAUAUGCGGGGGAACACCGAGGGCGAAGGCAGCCUCCUGGGAUAACACUGACGCUCAUGCACGAAAGCGUGGGGAGCAAACAGG
rnacentral:rRNA from 1 species